rnacentral:rRNA from 1 species
GAUGAACGCUGGCGGCGUGCCUAAUACAUGCAAGUCGAGCGAACAGACGAGGAGCUUGCUCCUCUGACGCUAGCGGCGGACGGGUGAGUAACACGUGGAUAACCUACCUAUAAGACUGAGAUAACUUCGGGAAACCGGAGCUAAUACCGGAUAACAUGUUGAACCGCAUGGUUCAACAGUGAAAGACGGUCUUGCUGUCACUUAUAGAUGGAUCCGCGCCGCAUUAGCUAGUUGGUAAGGUAACGGCUUACCAAGGCAACGAUGCGUAGCCGACCUGAGAGGGUGAUCGGCCACACUGGAACUGAGACACGGUCCAGACUCCUACGGGAGGCAGCAGUAGGAAAUCUUCCGCAAUGGGCGAAAGCCUGACGGAGCAACGCCGCGUGAGUGAAGAAGGUCUUCGGAUCGUAAAACUCUGUUAUUAGGGAAGAACAAAUGUGUAAGUAACUAUGCACGUCUUGACGGUACCUAAUCAGAAAGCCACGGCUAACUACGUG